rnacentral:rRNA from 1 species
UACGAAGGGGGCUAGCGUUGCUCGGAAUCACUGGGCGUAAAGCGCACGUAGGCGGAUCUUUUAAGUCAGGGGUGAAAUCCUGGAGCUCAACUCCAGAACUGCCUUUGAUACUGAAGAUCUUGAGUUCGGGAGAGGUGAGUGGAACUGCGAGUGUAGAGGUGAAAAUUCGUAGAUAUUCGCAAGAACACCAGUGGCGAAGGCGGCUCACUGGCCCGAUACUGACGCUGAGGCACAA